rnacentral:lncRNA from 1 species
AACCAAAAUAUGACGGGUUGAGCUAUCCUCCGUUAUUUUCGACCAUACACACUCAAUCUCUGUUAUUUUCGACCUCCAUGGCAGAGAUCUGCAAACAAGGUUAGCGAUAGUAGACAGAUGACCCAGCAAAGGAGUACCGAGAUGAAACUGAUGGAGGUGCAGUUUCAGGCUUGGCUCCGUGGUACUGGAGUAACUUGUUAUAAUUUGACAAUGCAUCAGAAGCAUGCGUUGAGUAUAAUCUACCCUCUUGAUCAGCUUCCCUCCUACGCAAGGGAUCUGCCUCAAAUAGGGACGUCUCUCUACGACCAUCAACAUAAUAGGAACCUGAAGAAAGUUCAUCUCUCCUUGAAGGCGGCACAUAUGCAUCUGCAGAUGAAGCACCAUGAUGAUAAGUAUAAUAUGGAUCCCUUGUGUAUGGGUCCAAAGCAGCAAGAGCAGAGCCAGAAGAAGUUGGAGGUAUCGAAGUAACGGCUGGUGGCAAUUCACGUCUACCGCUAGAAUUAUAUGGCUGGUUCAGGUAGAGAGGAACAGCCAGAACGGCUUCUCUUUGCAAAGGUACAGUGUCUCUGUAUAUAGGGUCUGGCAGUCUAAGAAGGUGCUCUCUUUCCUGGUCUCUCUGGUACGGGUCUAGAGUGGAUGGAAUAUGAUGAGAGGGAGUCAACUUUCUUCUCUCUCCUGAAAGGCCAUACGUUCUAUAUUCCUUUUCACUCAUGAAUAAAUCACAAGGAAACUCAUCUCUGUGCAUAGAGCCCGCCUGCUGGUAUUCAACAUGUCCAUCCCUUUCAUCAGAGAGCAUAGAGUAUCUCCUAGCAUCAUGAUUGCCUCUAGCAAAUGCUUCCCUUUCCAAAUGGACCUGCAAGUCUCUUGCUCCCGCAUAAACUUCUCUGUCCUGAACAGUCACCAUUGGUGGCGAGCGUACAGGCCCUAUAACUGGGCGGAAAAGUGCACUGAGUUUCAGGACCUAAGAGAAAGUAGAUGAUUUUUUUUAUAUCUGUAGGGUAAUCAGAUAUCUAAUACAUGUACAGAAAAGAAUUCAUACCAAGCUAGCAGAUGAGCUGGCCAAAUUUUACCUGUCGAACAGUAAGUUCUGUUUUGAACUUGUUCUUCUCAUUAUAAUUGUCCUUUAUAGCCUUCUUGAAAACACUCUCAGUGAUUGGAAAACAGUCCUUGUGAACAACAAACCGCACCUGGAGCUCACUAGCAUCAGAAUGCAGAUCCUGUAAAGUUGAUGAGAAAACAGUAAUGCUACAAAAGAGAAGUCUGCCUCAUAAAUUAAAAUAAAACCUGAAAUGGGAAGGAACCACCAAAAGCCUUGGGCUCCAAUUUUACUCCACCAGCAGAGGAUGCUUCAUAGAUACCAUACAUAAGUUUCAGAUCAAAAUCAUAGAGGAAAAGCUUAAGUCCAGGUUUCACACCCAAUAUGAGUUCCUUUUUAUUCAUUGUGACACCCAUGACACGAUAGAGGAAACAAUCUGGCUUGGUUUUUGCACUGCACAUAAAGAUCAUACCACCAAGCUUUUCUUUCUUCUUCUCAUCCCAUCCAUUCUUUUCUCUCUCAUCAUGUUUUCCUUUGUUUUUUUGAUUUCUCGAGCUUCUGUCAACUAAGACACCAUGCUUUUCUCCACUCUUUUGGUUCCUUUGACCCUUAUUUGACCCAACAAAUCUUUCUUGGUUCUUUCGAAUCUCUUGGCCAUUCUCAAUGCGCUCUUUCUUAGAAACAUUCUUUUCACUCGAAUUCAGGUUAUCGGCAUCACCAUGCUCAUUUCUGUUUCUUUCUCCCUUGCCUUGUAUAAUAUCUUUAUUCUUCUUUCUGUUUCUUCCUUGAGAUUUUGGACUGCUUUUAGCUUUCUUGGACUUCAAAGAAUUGUUAGCUGAAGGUUUCUCUAUGAUUUUAGAUUUGGCCCUCAAUGAUUUGGGGGUUCUUUUUCUGGAUGAUUGACCUUUAGUUAAUGCAUCCACAAGAUUUCCAUCUCCAUUGUUGUUUAUUUCAGAUUGUAACUUAGUCGAUGCUUCAAUAGGAUUCUCAGUUUCCAUAUUGUUAUUCUCAGUUGACUGCGAUUUUGUGGAGGCUUCAGCUAGCUCAGUUUCUGUAUCAUUAAUCUCUUGUUCCAUCCCCUGCCAAGCAAUCGCAUGCCCCAAUUCCAAUAUUGACCCUGCAGACGAAAUAAAAAAACAAAAAACAAAAACAUCUUUAAAUUGAUUCAAUAUGAUUUUCAAUUCUUUACAUUGUGAACCUAUUGUACUUACAAAUACAUCUUGGAAGAGAAUCUUUGAAUUUGGCUUAGACUUUGACCUUGCAGUCUCCAUCGGUGAAAAGAAGAGGGAUACUCUGCAAGGUCUAUUAUUUGGAAAAUACAAAUAUUCGAUGCAACACUGAAUUUUAUGAAACUGAAAUUUAGGGGUUGUUUGGUAACACCACCAAAAGUUUGUAAUACAGUGACAGAAAUGAGAAACUAUCAAUAAACCAUCUUGUUUGUGUUCCUGAAACUGAAAAAAUUUAAGAAAAAUAAAACCUUUCAUUGGUGACCUGAGGCUGUGGCCGAUAGGUGGAGAAUCUAUAAUAUCUGUUUGUUAACUUGUGGUAUCUGUUUGCGACGAUUGAACUUGCUCUUAUUUUUUUUUAACAACUCAAAUCGUCAAACUUAAUUUUAGAGGUUUCCCGCAACUGGUUAGUGGUCACUGGUUUCUUUGUUUCUUCGCUAGAAUCUGUAACAGACACAGGUGCACUUCCAGGUUCUUUUGCCAGCAUAUCUGUAGAAAUGUAUGUUGCUUUAAUUUUUGUGAUUUUUUAUUAAUGAAUUUCAUGAAAUGAUGUUGAAACCUCAAACUCUUGUUUAAAUUUACUGACAAUCAGAAAAAAAAUAUCAAGUUGCAGUUAGGUCUAAUUUAUGGUUCAUUUCUUACGAGUGUAAUUGUGGCAUUUCUUUUUGUUUUUAACAGUUUAUUAUGGCGUUGAAAAUUCAUUCCGUAGUUUAGCUCCACAUGUUGCACAGGUUGUGUCAUGAAUUCCUUAUUUCGUUUGCUGCUAUACUUUUGUUGUAAUGUUUUGAAUUUAAGAGUAGUAAAAGUCAAUAAAGCCCUUGAAGGUUUAAAGAGUAAGUGUGAUUAAAAGAGGGGUAUUGUAGUAAUUGAAUAAGAAGAUGAUAAAUAUAAAUAGAAAAAAAAAGAGAAAUCUGAAAUUAAGAGUGAAAAACUGACGGGAGAAGAGAAGAAAAGGGGAAGAAGAAGAAGAGAAAAAGAGAGAAAUUAGAAGGGAAAUAGAAAGGAAUUGAAGAAAAUAAGUUAAAAGUGUAAGAUUUAUGCUUUAAUGUGUAUAAUAUGUUAUUUGAACUUUAAAUUUUGGUUUUGAUGAAUGUUAGGGUUUUGAAGAUUAUGUUUUGGAUUUGAUUGAUGAAUUAAUUUGAAUGUUAGGGUUUGAUUGUCGUGGGUAAUUGAUUAUUUAGUUGAUUAUGGAAGAUUUUGAUGAUUUUGAGUUAUGAAUUGUGUAAAUGGUAAAUUUUGAGUUAGAAAUUUGGAAAGAACAGUAGAUUUUCUUUUUAAAUUCUGGGUUGGAGGUUGAAGAUGACGAAAAUUCAAUUUGGUCCCUCAAUUUGCGAAAUUACAGUUUAGUCCCCAAACUUUGGAAAAUUAUAAAUUGGUCCCUGGAGCAUAUUCCGAGAUUCUGAACAGAAUAAAAUAUGAAUUAUGGGCAGAAUUACAGUAUAUUUAUGAAUUGUAAACACUUUCAAUUUGGUCCUCCAAUUUGACAAAAAUUACCAUUUGACCCUAAAAAUUUGGUAAAAUUCCAGAAUGAUCCCUGGAGCAUAAUUAUGGUCAGAAUUUCAUUAUAUUCAUGGAUUUAUGACAAAUUUUAGUUUGGUCCUCCAUUUGAUAAAAAUUACAAUUUGACCCUAAAAAUUUGAAAAAUUCGAGAAUGGUCCUUGGAGCAUAAAUAGAGGUUCUGGACAGAAAUGAGGAUGAAUUAUGGACAUAAUUCCACUAUAGUCAUGAAUUUAUGAUAUAUUUAGUUUGGUCCUCCAAUUAGACGAAAAUUACAAUUUGGCCCUAAAAAUAUGAUACAUUCCAGAUUGGUCCCUAGCUGCAAUAUUAGCUUUUUCAGAUUGGUUUGAUGAAUAAAUGAUGGUUAUUUAGUGAAUUAUUAUCAAGUCUUAUUAUUUUUUUUUAUUAUGGAUUAGAUUUCGGGAAAGCCGUUAAUUUUUGAGUUUUUAGGAAAAUUGACUAGUUAGUUUAAAAACAUAUAGGGUUACGGAAUACACCUUUAGUUAAGUGUAUUAAAUAGGUUAAAUAUUCUUUUGAGUCGUUCUUGAAUAUGUCUCCUUUGUAUUCAGAUAAUCCUGAUAUUCUACCAGCGGGACGUCAGUAGGAUUUUCUUCGAUGUUUGCCUUUGACUUCUGUUUGAUUUCGAGUCAGGUGAGUGGAUAAUUUUCCAUAUGCAUGAGAAAUAUUAUAAAUAUUUGAUUUGUUAAUAUGAAUUGGAUCAUGCUUAUUGAUAAUAUAUAUGUUGAUUAUUAUCCUUGUUAUGAUAAAGGAUGAUCAAUUAUUGAAUCUGAAUUCUUGAUAUAUGAACCAGUAUAUAUUUUGAAUUGACUUCUGAAUUGAUAUCUCCUCAUUUGAUUGAUAUCAUGAGUUGAGCUUUGAGAUACGAAUAUGUUUGUUUGAUUAUGAUUAUGAACCUAUGGUAUGUCAGUCAGAAUACUCAUGCUAACAGGGUAGUGUUAGUCUUUGUGCACAUCGUAUCUGAACCCUAGUUGGUGGGGGGAGUCACCAACCUGUGUGGACUGAUCAUCCCACAGUACGGAGCCUCAUGCUCAUUGCAUUUUGAUUUUCUAACGAGCUUUACCUUAUGAUAUUCUUGUUAUGGCCUAUUUGAUAAACCUUCCUAUAAGAACCCAGAGUCAUACUUGUAUAUAUAAUUCGCAUUGUUGUAUUACCUCGUGUGUGUAUUGAACGUUAUCUACUCACUGAGUUAUUGAACUCACCCUCUCAUUAUUUAUCUUUUCAGGCUUAUAGCUUGAUAGCGGGUUACUUUUAUUGAACCUUUCGAACCUGUUUUUUUGUUGUAAUUUGUACCUUCCUUUUAUGUCUAGUUAGUGCUCCAAAACUAUGAAAUUAUAUUAACUCUUGUAUUAAGACAAUGAAAUUAUAUUAUGAAGUUAGUUUGUUGUUAAAGCUGCGUUGAAUUCUUAUUGAGUUGUUUAAAGGAUAAGAUUGUAUGUAAGUUUGGGUUCGUAUAGGUAUGGAACCUUGGAGGGGAACCUUGUCUAUGUGCCGGUCAUGGAUCCGGGAAAGGUUGUGACAUUUGUCGCUCUCAUUAAUGGUUUUCUGGUGUUCACAGUGGCUGUUGAGCUCAUACAACAGUACUCAAUUACUUCUGAUGGUGUUUCUUGCCAUAGUUUCUCUAUUUUUGGGUACCAUGCCAACCUUUGUCUCACAAACACUACAACAAAUGAGGUCUAGUUCAUUUACGUGUACUCUUUCAUAUAGUUUAGUUGUUUUCAUUUCAUAUAUGUUUAGGCUGGAUGUCGAUGCUCUUUUAAAUGUGGUUUUUUCCAUUUCUCUCGGAUAUAGGAUGAGGCAGAAUUUGGCCAGUAAUUAACAUCAUAGGAGAAGCCUUUUUUGUAACUUUUUGACUCCAUUGCAGCAGCUUUACCUGAUGGGCAAAAUAGGGAAAAGUUGACCGUGUCAAGCCAUGAAAACAAAUACAGAUAUCAAUUUCCCGGCUUGGUAUAUGGAAUACCACGUAAUUCAGAAAAUUUCUAUGGAAGUUGCACUUUCUCCUCUUCAAGCUUCCUAAUGUUUUGUCCAACCAUGAGUUUUUCAUAAGGGUAGCAAUUAACAUAGAAACUUCUGAAAUCAGAAGAUUUAUUGAUUUUUUUGGCUGGUGUUAUGGUUUGUUAUUGUGCUUCGAUAUUUAAAAGAGGGAUAGGGAGCAUUGGGAGAAAUUAAGGGCUGGGGGGUUUAGAAGUGCUAAAAUUAAGUAAGGGUGUUGAAAAUUACAAGAACCUUGGCUAUUACUUUAAUAGAUUUUGGGGGGAGGUUGGGUUUGAAUCUGUCUGCGAUUUCCACCACUUCAGAGAACUGCACUAAUUUUUUAAGUAAUCUCCCCUAAAAUCUCUAGAUUUUAAUGUGCUUCUGUUCAACUCUAAAUAUGAUGACUCCAACCAGUUGAUUAUGUUGUUUAAAUUCCCUUGUGGUAUUUAUAGACAACCAUAGGCCAUAGCCACCUUCUAUCUCUCCAUGCGUGUACAAUUUUUUUGGAUUAACUGGUGUUCUCAGUAUUGGAAUCUCAUUUACUAGGUUAAUACUGUAAUCCUGAAACUUGUGGUCGUUGCUUUUUGCUGGAAUUACAGACCUUCAAGUGGGAAGACUACAUAAGCUGGCAAAGGAAGCUAAAUGAAGCAAGGGUUAGUGCUGCAGCACUUAAAGCAAGCAUCAGUGGGAUGAGCAGUGAAGCAAAGCGUCCAGAGAGCAUAUGUAAAUCCUUUUUCCGGAGAUCGCCCCUCGAAGAUUCUCAGGUGGUAUAAGGAAAACAAGUAUGGCAAGGGGUUCUUUCACAACAUGUUUGAGGUAAUUUGGUGUAACUACAGAUCUACAUCUCAUUUAGUAAGAACAGCAUUCGAAAAUUUUACAUGAAAAUGAAGAGGGCAUAGUUUCUUGCAUCCAGCAUGCCAAGUCGUGAAAAACAUGCAACACAUAUCACUAGAGAGCGUUAAUGGCCAUCAGAGCAUGCAACACAUACACUCAAUGCCUGUGAGAAAACUCACUUGAUUUGUACCUUGCCUUUUGCAUUACUGUAGCAGUGAUCAUAUAAAUCUUUUCAAAAUCUCCGUGCAUUGCCUUAAUGGCUAUGUGCUUUUUCGUGGACAGAGGAGAUCAACUGUUGUAGAAUAGAUCAGUCAGUAUACAUGCAGCAUCCACACCAAUACAAGGGUUUGAUUUAGGAUGAUAACUAUAUUCGUUUUUAUGCAGGUUCGCCUUCGUUUAUCUGAAUGAAAAUAGAUAUAGAGGGACCUUUGCUUUUAUGAAGAUAAAUGUGGAAAUGAGUAAAAAUAAUCGACUUAUUCGAGUAUGAAGGUGAAGGCCAUACCAUAACUUAUAAAGGGUUAAUUAUAUUUUAGUCAAUCCAGUUUAGUAAAACUAACUAAUCAGUCAUCUUAGUUUCAAAAACUAUAUAUUUAAUCCUUAUGUUCUUAAAUAAAUUUAUAACUAGAUUCUUCACAUUCUUUUCUUUUUUAAGAUUACCUUGAUUAAACUAAACUUGUUCGAUAAAUGUAAAAUAUUUUGUUUUUUUUUUUCAUAGCCUAUAUGCUUUACUUAAUGUAAAUUGAUCAUGAAAAAUAUCACCUGAACCUUUAAUAAAAAUAGAUACAAAGGAUUGAAAAUUAUGAAUGCAAAUUGGUAUAAAAAUUAGGAAGCUUCCAUUUAAGCUGGGGUGGAUGGACCCUCCACUGAUCCAGGAAUGCGUGGAAACCAAUAUGAAAUAUUAACUGUUUAAUCGAAAUCAAAAGGGGAUGUAGCUCAAAUGGUAGAGCGCUCGCUUUGCAUGCGAGAGGUACAGGGUUCGAUCCCCUGCAUCUCCAUUUCUGUUUUUUUUUAGCUUGAAUGGAGUAUUCAGCUAAAACAAUAUUGUGUUCUGGAAGACACUGCUAUAAUUGGAGGGCUGAAGAAAUUCCAACUGCCAAGUGAAUUGGGGAAGCUGAGGACUUCAGUUUGUUUCCCUGUGAAAACAUGAACUCUGUACAGAGAAGUGAGGACAUCCAUGAAGGGAUUUAGAGUUUAGAUAAGUCACUAUUCAUACCUUCUACUUUGGGCAUUACCAGAGCUCAAGAAAUUCUAUUCAGGAAGACACCGACAUAUUAUCAAGAAAUUAUUAUGUGUGUAUCACUGUGACAAAUUGGAGGUAUUUGAUUCAGGACAUUCAUAGGAACACAUAUGAUUCAAAAAGAGACCCACCUGUCUAUGCUGCAAUUAUUUUGGUCUUCCAAAUACUAUUUGAAGGGAGACACUUUCUACAAUUAUUUUUAUUUAGAUUUUCUAAAUCUUGAAAAAUUUCACAUUCAGUAUAAUAAAAAAGAUAUAAUUUUUUUUUAUCUGGAUUGAAAGAGCUUUAUUAUUCAAAAAUAAUUAGCUUGCUAGCUAUUUUCAUUUUUAGAUUUAAAUUAAGUACUAUUUCAGAUUUUUUUUUCAAUUUUCCUUUUUGCUUUCUUAUUUUUUUCAUCUAUUUAGAUUAAUACUUUCAAUUUAAUUAGUUGGGAUAUUUUUUUAUAUUUAAUUAAUAUUUCUUUUGUUUCUGUAGCAAUGUAGCAAGCCAAUUCCUCACUGUUUAUGGAUGUUGUGCACUUGCUGAUUUGGCAGAGUUCAAUCGGUUAGUUCUCCAAAGUGGGCCCCUAGAUUCUGUAGGAAAUCAAGUUGUUCUUCUUUUUUUUUAUCUUUUUAUGAAGGAAAGAUGCGCUCUUUCAACUAUACAGAGAAUAAUCAUUAAGCCAUCCACUGUUGCUCUCAUCCAUUCCCUUGCUUUCCCACUGCUGAUAAACCUCAGUUGUUUAUAAUCUGCCGUAAUAUUUGCAUUUAUGCUCACUCACUGCUCUGUUAAUUAGCUGAAACCAAGAGGUAUGCUUGCUUCAGGACUUUUUCUUUUUUCUAUUUUUAUCACUUGAUUCCAGAGACCCUUUGAUGUUAAUUUGCUAUUCAUCUUGAUUACUUUCUUUCUUUGUUACUUUAUGCUUUUGAAAAGUCUCUGCUUUGCUGCUUGUUUAUUAUUUGUGUUGUUUUUGCUUUAUUAAACCUCAGCUGUUUAUAAUCUGCAGUAAUAUUUGCACCUCUGCUCACUGGUCUGAAGUCGCUGCUCUAUUGAUUAGCUGAAACCAAGAGGUAUGCAUGCUUAAGGACUUUUCCUUUUUUCUAUUUUUAUCACUUGAUUCCAGAGACCCUUUGAUGUUAAUUUGCUUUUCAUCUUGAUUGCUUUCUUUCUUUGUUACUUUAUGCUUUUGAAAAGCCUCUGCUUUGCUGCUUGUUUAUUAUUUGUGUUGUUUUUGCUUUAUUAAUGUUAGUUGACUUGCAACAAAGAAAUCCUUUUGCUGUUCAUCUCUGAUUUAGUUCCAGAAGAUUUGAAAAGUUUCCUUUUGAUUUAAUUUGUUCAUUGCAGUUCCUUGAUUGCUUGAUUCCAGACAAGAAGAAGAGUUAAGUUUCAUUGGACAUGGAAAUUGUGAUUUCUAUUGUAGCCAAAGUUGCUGAGCUGUUAGUUGUUCCCAUUAAGAGACAGAUUGGUUAUGUAAUUGAUUGCAAUACCAAUAUUCAGAACUUGAAAAAUGAAGUUGAGAAGUUGACAUAUGCAAAAACAAGGGUGAUUCAUUCUAUAGAGGAGGCUAUAAGUAAAGGGGAAGAGAUUGAAGUUGACGUUGAGAACUGGCUGGGAAGUGUUGAUGGGGUCAUUGAAGGGGGAUGCGGUGUUGUUGGAGAUGAAUCAAGUAAGAAGUGCUUCAUGGGUUUGUGUCCUGAUCUAAAGAUACGUUAUCGGUUGGGUAAAGCAGCGAAGGAGGAGUUGACGGUUGUUGUUGAUCUCCAGGAAAAAGGGAAAUUUGAUAGAGUUUCUUACCGUGCUGCUCCAUCGGGUAUAGGGCCUGUCAAGGAUUAUGAGGCCUUUGAAUCAAGAAAUUCUGUAUUAAAUGAUAUUGUGGAUGCAUUGAAGGAUGGUGACGUGAACAUGGUUGGGGUAUAUGGGAUGGGUGGUGUGGGGAAGACCACACUUGUGAACAAGGUUGCUGAACAAGUCAAGGAGGGCAGGCUGUUCGAUAAGGUGGUUCUGGCACUUGUGUCACCUACUCCAGACAUCAGAAGAAUUCAAGGUGAAAUAGCAGAUGGGCUGGGACUCAAAUUGGAUGCAGAGACUGAUAAAGGAAGGGCAAGUCAACUAUGCAGGGGAUUGAAGAAAGUGACUACAGUACUUGUAAUUCUUGAUGAUAUUUGGAAAGAACUUAAAUUGGAGGAUGUCGGAAUCCCUUCAGGGAGCGAUCAUGAAGGAUGCAAGAUACUCAUGACUUCAAGAAAUAAAAAUAUACUGUCUCGGGAGAUGGGCGCAAACAGAAAUUUCCAGAUUCAAAUUUUGCCUGUAAGAGAAGCAUGGAAUUUUUUCGAAAAGAUGGUGGGGGUUACUGUUAAAAAUCCUAGUGUACAACUUGUUGCUGCUGAAGUAGCCAAAAGAUGUGCCGGUUUGCCGAUUUUACUUGCUACAGUUGCUAGGGCACUGAAAAACGAAGAUUUAUAUGCUUGGAAGGAAGCCUUGACACAGCUAACAAGGUUUGAUAAAGAUGAUAUUGACAAAACCGCUUACUCGUGUCUGGAACUGAGUUACAAAGCUUUGAGAGAUGAUGAAAUCAAGUCAUUGUUCUUGCUUUGUGGGCAAAUCUUAACUUAUGAUGCUUUAAUCUCAGACUUGUUAAAGUAUGCUAUAGGCUUGGAUUUGUUCAAGGGACGUUCCACAUCGGAAGAAGCAAGAAACAGACUGCAUACAUUGGUGGAUGAACUUAAAGCCUCUUGUUUGUUGCUAGAAGGUGACAAUGAUGGAAGCGUGAAAAUGCAUGAUGUUGUUCAAAGUUUUGCCAUCUCUGUUGCAUUAAGGGACCACCAUGUGCUUACCGUGGCAGAUGAAUUCAAAGAAUGGCCAACCAAUGAUGUGCUUCAACAGUACACUGCAAUCUCUUUGCCUUUCCGGAAAAUUCCUGAUCUUCCUGCGAUAUUAGAAUGUCCAAAUCUCAAUUCGUUUAUACUGCUGAACAAGGAUCCCUCACUGCAAAUACCAGACAACUUUUUCAGAGAAAUGAAGGAGCUUAAAGUCUUGGAUCUGACAGGAGUUAAUCUUUCACCACUGCCUUCGUCACUUCAAUUUCUUGAGAACCUUCAAACGCUGUGUUUGGAUUUUUGUGUUUUGGAAGAUAUAUCUAUAGUUGGAGAGCUAAAGAAGUUGAAAGUUCUCAGCUUAAUGGGUUCUGAUAUUGUUUGUUUGCCAAGAGAAAUAGGAAAAUUGACUCGUCUGCUACUUCUAGAUUUGAGCAAUUGUGAAAGGCUUGAAGUAAUAUCACCAAAUGUCCUUUCUUCCUUGACCCGGCUAGAAGAAUUAUAUAUGGGAAACAGCUUUCUGAAAUGGGAGGCUGAAGGACCAAGCAGUGAAAGAAACAGUGCUUGCCUGUCAGAAUUGAAGCUUCUGGCAAACUUAAUUACCUUAGACAUGCAAAUUACAGAUGCAGAUCAUAUGCCCAAGGACUUGUUUUUGUGCUUUCAAAAGUUGGAAAGGUUCAGAAUAUUUAUUGGAGAUGGGUGGGACUGGUCUGUUAAGUAUGCAACCUCAAGAACUUUGAAACUCAAGCUCAAUACAGUUAUUCAGUUGGAGGAGCGGGUGAACACGCUGCUGAAGAUCACUGAAGAACUUCAUUUGCAAGAACUGAAUGGUGUUAAGAGUAUCCUCAAUGACUUGGAUGAGGAAGGUUUCUGUCAGCUGAAGGAUCUUCACGUCCAAAAUUGUCCUGGAGUUCAAUAUAUCAUCAACUCGAUGAGGAUGGGUCCUCGAACUGCUUUUCUGAACUUGGACUCACUGUUUCUUGAAAAUUUGGAUAACUUGGAGAAGAUCUGCCAUGGCCAACUUAUGGCAGAGUCGCUUGGAAACUUGAGAAUUUUGAAGGUAGAAAGUUGUCAUAGGUUGAAGAAUUUAUUUUCAGUCUCCAUUGCAAGAAGAGUUGUGCGACUUGAAGAAAUCACAAUAAUUGAUUGCAAGAUCAUGGAAGAGGUUGUUGCUGAGGAAAGUGAGAAUGAUACUGCUGACGGUGAACCGAUAGAGUUCACUCAAUUACGUAGACUGACACUGCAAUGUCUGCCUCAGUUCACAAGCUUUCACUCUAAUAGAAGGCAGAAGCUAUUAGCAAGUGAUGUGAGGUCAAAAGAAAUUGUUGCGGGGAAUGAGCUUGGGACUUCCAUGUCACUUUUCAAUACAAAGGUCUGGUUUGCUUUCUUUUAACAAGCUAUUAUUUGUCCUUUUAACCUCAAAAAACAAAAACCCAUUCUCAGGAGUAGACAAAUUGAAGUCUUUGAUUUUUUUUUUUUUUCUCGCUGAAAAAUAAAAAGAACUUAAUAAAACAAAAUAUGUGCAUGCAGAUUUUAUUCCCCAAUUUGGAGGACCUGAUGCUCUCCUCCAUCAAAGUGGAAAAGAUAUGGCAUGACCAACAUGCUGUGCAGCCUCCCUGUGUUAAAAACUUAGCAAGCAUUGUGGUGGAGAGUUGUAGCAAUUUAAACUAUUUAUUGACAUCUUCUAUGGUCGAAAGUCUUGCUCAACUCAAAAGUCUUGAAAUAUGUAAUUGCAAGUCCAUGGAAGAAAUAGUUGUUCCAGAAGGAAUCGGAGAAGGUAAAAUGAUGAGCAAGAUGCUAUUCCCUAAACUACACAUCCUAUCGCUCAUUCGUCUACCAAAACUCACAAGAUUCUGCACCAGUAACUUGCUUGAAUGCCACUCCCUGAAAGUGCUGACGUUAGGGAAAUGCCCUGAACUGAAGGAAUUUAUUUCCAUCCCAUCAAGUGCAGAUGUCCCUGCCAUGAGCAAACCUGACAACACAAAAUCAGCUCUCUUCGAUGACAAGGUGAUUUUAUUUCAAAAGCAGGCUUAAUUUGUGAGCUUGCCUCACACGUGUAUUUUGUUUCUAUGUUUUACCCCAAAGGUGAUAUUUUGUUAUGGGCGUUGGCAAUCUAUUAACAGAAUGGAAUUGUUACUGCAGGUUGCAUUCCCUAACUUGGUGGUAUUUGUAAGUUUCGAAAUGGAUAAUUUGAAGGUGAUAUGGCACAAUGAACUCCAUCCUGAUUCCUUUUGCAGACUGAAGAUACUGCAUGUUGGGCAUGGAAAGAAUUUACUGAAUAUUUUCCCUUCCAGUAUGCUGGGAAGAUUCCAUAAUCUAGAGAAUCUGGUUAUAAAUGAUUGUGAUUCAGUAGAAGAGAUUUUUGAUCUCCAAGCGCUCAUAAAUGUGGAACAAAGACUUGCUGUUACAGCCUCUCAAUUGAGAGUUGUGCGUCUAACGAAUCUUCCACACCUGAAGCAUGUUUGGAAUAGGGAUCCACAAGGAAUUGUUUCCUUCCAUAACCUAUGUACCGUGCAUGUCCAGGGAUGUCUUGGUCUAAGAAGUCUCUUCCCUGCCUCUAUAGCCCAAAACCUUCUACAACUUGAAUUGCUUCGGAUAGAUACCUGUGGAGUGGAGGAAAUUGUUGCGAAGGAUGAAGGACUAGAAGAAGGUCCUGAGUUUGUGUUUCCUAAAGUUACCUUUCUGCAGCUUCGGGAAUUACCAGAACUAAAGAGAUUCUAUCCAGGAAUACAUACAUCAGAAUGGCCGAGGUUGAAAACGCUUCGGGUGUAUGACUGUGAGAAAAUUGAAAUAUUUCCUUCAGAAAUCAAGUGCUCUCACGAACCAUGCAGGGAGGACCACAUGGACAUCCAGGGUCAGCAACCACUUCUCUCAUUUAGGAAGGUAUGAUCCUCACCCCUAUUCCAAGCACGUACACGCUCCACAUCUUUCUAAUUUUCACAUAAACUUUCAUUAGACCGUUAUUAUCACAACUCGAAUAUUAGGUUCAUGACUAGCAAUGCAAAAAGGGUGUUGCAAAGAUACUUCACUUACAUUAAGUCUCAAAAAAAAUAUAUCAAUAGAACAAAUUAUUAAAAAACACACAACAUUUUAUAAUUUUUUAAAAUAUUAUAUUAUUCAAAACUAAUAAAACCAAAUGAUAGUUUAAAAAUUCUCAUCAAUAAUUAAAACAAAAAUAAUAAUUCAUAAUACUCAUUAUAUUAUUAAAAUCCAAACUUAAUUAAAACAAGGUAAUAGUAGAGCAUUUAAAAUAUCGAGUAAAAACUAUAAGAAAAGUCUCACGAAUUAAAUAAGAAAUACUGACCAAAACUAAAAAAGUAAAAACAUUUAACAAAGUUCACUGGUAACAGAAAAUAACAACCUGAAGUAAUAUUAAAAAUAAGAGGUAAGUUUAACUAACUCAGUGAGUGAAUAAUAUUUAAUAUACGUCUUAGAUAUUAAUAUUUUGCAAGACGAUUUAUCUUGACACACACACACACAAUAAGCAUGUUAUCAUAAAGUACAUAUCAGUGAUUAGAUGACACUCCAAGGUGACCGGAUGACAUUCGAAGGUAAUUGUUGUGGGAGGAUCAGUUGUCACAGGUUAAUGUCUCUCUCACUAGUUAGGUGUGUAGAAUAUUAUGCAUAUAUGUUAACUACUCUCAUGGUUAUUAAACCCGGGACCCAGUCGACCUUGUGGUUAGACUGAUCUAGGUAAGACAAAAGAUCGGGAUAAGCAAAAACUCUUCAAAAUCCGGUUGACCUAUUGGGUUGACUAAUGACUCGGGUGACCCGGCAAAACCCGUUUGAGACUCGUUUUUUUUUUUUUUCAAAUGUGUUUUUUCUUCUAGCCAAAGACCCCUCUUGUUUUGUAUUUUUUUUAGUUGAUUAUUAACCCCUUUUAAAGUUCAUUAUAUAAAUACUAAAAUAAUAUUUUAUUUUUUCAAUGUGAGAUUUGAAGCCCUUUAAUAUAUAUACUCUAUGUUCAUAAGAAAACAUUAUAUUUUUUCAAUGUGGGAUAAAAAACCUUUUUGGUUUAAAUACUUCAACUUAAAAGGAUAACAUACUAACAUAAUAUCUUUUCAAUGUGGGAUAAAAAAAACCUUUUGAAAGAAUCUCAAACUUCAUUAUUUAUAAUAUAUAUAGCUUAUAUUCACAUGAAUUAUUUCUUAAUUUUUUCAUAUGAAAUAUUAAAACUUAAAAUAUAUAUUUUUUAAUUUUUCUGAAUUUAUUUAGGUUGACCCGGGAGCAUCUAUGUAACCUGGGACUCGGCUUCUUGGUCGGGUUUGAUAGCCAUAACUACUCUCUGUUAGCAUGAAAUUACUGACAAGUCCUAUAACAAGACAUAAUAAAUACUUAUAUAAUUGUCAAAGCAAUGUAUAUUAUAUCAAAUAGAAUUUAAUUCAACAGAAUGUGAGUGCAGAUUCAAGAAUAGAUGAGUACUUGAAAAAUAAAGCAGCAUAUAUAAAUAUUCAAGUAAUUAACUGGUCAUAAUCAUCAUAUAAUAAACAUACAUAUUUAUUUAUAUUACAUGUAUAUUAAAGAUUAUCUCACUCACCUAUAAAAUACAGAACUAAAAUGAAUACUAGAUGAAAGAUUCAAAAAUCUUAUUGAGGAUCAUAUACUAAAGAUUUAAAGUACCAAUAACAAAUAUACGAAAUAUACUAAAAAAAACCAAAUAAAAAAUUCCAAUGCAUAAUAGAAAUCAGGUUUAGUCUCCUAAUUUUAGGGACAAACGAUAAUUUUUCCAAAAACAGGGACCAAAAUGUAAUUAUCAGAAAUUCAUAACCAUAUUGAAAUUUCAACCAUAAUCCAUAUUAAAUUCUGUCCAGAAUCUCAAUUUACAAUUUAGGAACCAAACUAUAAUUUUUUUCAAAGUGUAGGGACUAAAUUGUAAAUCUCCAAAAUAGAGGGACUAAACUAAAAAUUACGCAAUUCAAUUAUCGAACAGAGGUUCAUCAUCCUUAAUCUCGUAAGAAUACUGUCCAAAAUUCCAAAAUACAUUUUAGAGGUCAAAUUAUUAUUUUCUAAAGUUUAGGGACUAAACUCUAAUUUUCAUUAAUCAAGGACCAAAAUAAAAUUCCAUCAUCUUCAACCUCUAUGCACAGAGAACCCCAAUCGGUUCAGAAUAAAAAGAAAAUCAGAAUUUCAAUCUAAAAGCAGAAAGAGAAUUCUUAUUGAAAGAUUGACAAAGCUUUUGCAUUCAUAACAUUACAAAACUGAAGCUAGAGCUCACGUGGCACAAUUCAUUUAGCCAAGUGUUCAGUUGAUCUUUCUAUGCACAGCCUUUAAACUUGUUAAUAAAACGUCAAGUCAAGCAUGCUUUCUUUUGAUUGGUUUUCAGAUCAUCCCCAACUUGGAGGAUUUACAUUUGGAAAGCAAGGAUGCAUCGGCAUUAUUGAAAUGUCCUCAAUACUUCUUUCACAAACUCAAAGUUCUGGAACUAUUUUGCUUUGGUGAUGCACAUGCAACUUUUCUAUUUGAUCUCCUUCCAAGGUUCCCUAAUAUGGAAAGACUUAAUGUGGAACGUGGUACGUUCAAAGAGUUGCUCCCGUCUAGACUUGUUGGUAUGGAGGAGCAUGCAACAGUUCUUUCACCGAUACGACACUUGGAGUUGGAUUCUCUCCCUUGCCUAGAGCAUUUAUGGAAGAGCAAUUCCCAACUGGACCAAGCUCUUCAAACUCUUGAAACUCUAAGGGUACAUAAUUGCGGCAGUUUGAUUUAUUUAGCUCCAUCGCGUGCUUCUUUCCAAAAUCUAACAAAUUUGUAUGUGUGGAGAUGCGAAAGAUUAGUAAAAUUGGUGACAUCCACAACAGCAAAAAGUCUGGCGCAACUCACAAGAAUGAAAGUAGCGGGCUGCAGAAUGCUUACCGAAAUAGUAGCAAACGAGGAAGAGGGAAUAAAAGAUGAGAUUGUCUUCAGAAAAUUAGAAAUAUUAGAGCUUCAUCGUUUACCAAGCCUAACUAGCUUUUGCUCAGAAAAACACAGCUUUGAUUUCCCAUCUCUGGUAGAAGUAACUGUCAGUCAAUGUCCUGAGAUGAAGUUUUUCUCCAACGGAGCACUGAGCACUCCCAAGCUGCGGACAGUUAAUUUGACUGAAGAAGAGAAGAAAGGAUCCUGGGUUGGAAAUCUUAACACCACAAUACAACAGUUGUCUACACAAACGGUAAGUACCGAUCAAUCAUUCCAAUUUCUAUAAACCAUGAAAUAAGUAACUAGGUAUCUAAUUUUGCUUGUAUUUAACUAUUUCAGAAAGCUCAAAUUGCAGGAAGUAUCAUCGUAAAAGCUUGAGAUACAUGCUUGCUCCACCGAUGGGUUCGAUCCCCGUGCAGCUCCUAUAGUUGGAAGCAAAAGGCUGUCCCAAGAUUGAAGAAAUUGUCACAAAUGAUUUACCAGGUGCGGUAGAUCUUCUGAGAGAACAAAAAGCAAAUGCAACUGAUGGGGCUACUGAACCACAGAUGAUACGGGACAAGAAGAUUUGAAGAAAGAAAAGGAGACAAAGGAAGAAAGGAGGGAGAAGAAGAUGAGAGGAGCAGGAGAAGAGAAGAAGAGGGAGGAGGAGAAAUCAAUGAUCUUCAUAAUUCAUCGUCAAAACUGUAUGGAAUGUAAAAUACAAUACAUAUAAAUAGCAAAACUCAACCCAAACAUUGAUUUGCAAUUUACUAUAAUGGUGUUUUCAUGUAAAAAUAUUAUAAUUGUAAAUUUUGUUAUUUUUUUUGUUUUGUGUGGUAAAAUUGUAAUUUUUGGGUUUUUUUUUUAGAAAACAAGUUUUUUUUAUAUAUUUUUUAUUAUACUUGUUAUUUUUAUCAUUUUAUAUUUGGUUUAUUUAUCAUCAUUUAUUUAUUUUUAAUGUUUUUUUAAUAUUUUUCUUUAUAAUUAUUUUAUAAAAAAAUAUUAAAUUUUAUUUUUUACACUUUAAAUAUUAUCAGUAUACUUGGUUUACUUAUAUUAUUUUUUUUGUUUAUAUCUUUAUUUUUUAUAAAAUUUUUUCUUUGUACUUUUUUUAAAAAAUCUUUUAUACAAAGAUUAAGGAAAAUGCAUUUCAUUAUAGCAAUUAUAAUAUUAUUUUAUUUUUUCAUUACGUUAGUUUAACAUCUUAUAUAUUUUUAUUAAUACAUAUUAUAUUUACUACAAUUUAUUAUAGGCAAGUAUUGAGAAGCUCAAAAACCUUGAGAUAUGCAAUUGCAAGGCAGUGGAAGAAAUAGCAGUCACUGACGGGUGUUCACAUUGUUCUCUUCUAAGGCAGUGUUUUAUCUGCAUUUUAAAAAUGUUUUUAAAAAUAUUUAAAUUUUUUUAAUUUUAAAUUAAAAUAUUUUUAAUAUUUUUAGAUAUUUUAAUGUAUUAAUAUUAAAAAUUAUUUUAAAAAAAUAAAAAAAUAUUAUUUUAAUAUAUUUUAAAAAAAACAUUUUAAAAAAUAACCACGUAAUACUGUCAAAUUCUUUCACUCUUGUUCACAAUCACUUCUGAAUCAAUAUCACUUUCCUAAUUAUUGAAGCAGUAAACGACCAAGUCAUGCAUGAAUCUGCAAUCCAGCACACAGUUGAAGUCCAUGCAUCUCCCGCGACAAGUUUUAUCGCGUCUGAUGCUGCCUCCAGAAUAAUUGAACUGCUCCAAAUGCAGAAAGAUCUUCCUCUUGCACGUACAAGUUUUAUCUUUUUCCAACCCUGCGUCAAGCUCAAGAACUCCAGCUAAAUCUGACAAAUCUAGUGGUGUAAACUAUGAGACUCGUGCCGUCGUGCCCUGAUUUGUAUGGCUCUGAUUAAGAAAACCUUAAUGAGAUCCCCUGCAGAAGUAGCUAGCUCGACUGAUCGCCUUUUGCUGUUGUCCACUCCGAAGAACUAAAGAACAGCCCUCUUCUGAAUCCUCCGCAGCAACUAGAAAUCGUUCAAGUUCACAUCAAGAACUUUUUUCGAAAAGAUUCUUUUUUUCUCUAUUCUGUCUCUCUUUUCGGUAAAAAGCCAAAAGGUCAUCCCCAUUAAAAAUCAAACAUCAACUACACAGUUAUCAAUUGCCAGAGUCUAUGUUAGGACUUCAAUUCCCCCUCGUCACGACCCUGACAUUGAUCUUCAAAAUUAAAUGGAAAAAGAAAUAUUGCAAACGGGCAAUAAUGCCUCAAUCAUGUGUAAACAAAACAGGACCAGCAUGACCUUUCCACAAUAAGAAAGUCAGCAUGUGAUGCUGCAGCUCUUGUUCCUUCAAGUAUCAGGCUCACCACCAUUUUAUUGACCUAAAGAAAAUCAAUGAUGUUAAAUUACUAGCCAGGUAGAUCUCCUGUGCCAUGGCUCAAUUCUAUCCUCGUAAAUUACAGCAACCUGUUUGCUAUAUAUCCGCAAAUAAUUACCGACACCAUGCAAGAACUAGGAUAGUCUUGAAGGGCCUGUAACGAAAAUUGAUCAGCCUAAAAACAGAAAUUUUAAUGCAAGUUUCAACCAGGGAAAAUGAGCAGAAAUGCUGAGCCUGUACGUGCAUCGACUUUAAACAUUAUAAGCAGCAAAUUUAAUUCACAUGUGCUUGAAGAAGAGGACUAUGCAGCCAACAUGAGAUCUACACGCAAGGUUAGCGAGACACUAGAGCACCAGGUUAUAAUUUGAUAAUGCAUCGGCAGCGUAUGUUGGAGUAUAAUUUAUCCACUUGAUCAGUUUCCCUACGAUGCAAGGGAUCAGCCUCAAAGAGGUAAGUCUCUCAUAGACCAUCAACAUAAUAGGAACAUGAAGAAACCUCAUUUCUGAUGUGGGACAACGAAUUGAAGAAGGAAUGAAAAAUGAAAAAGGAAGUCAGAGGAGAGGAGAGAGACGUCUCUUGCAAAGAUGCAAUUUUUUUAAUAGAUAAAUACAGUUAGAUAGUUUAAAACAAACCCUAAUCAAAACAUUACCAAUAAUUGGACUAACAAUUAAGUCUAAAGUACAUGAUUAACAAAUCCAAAUAAAAGUACAAUAAAAUAAACUCGAAUGUGCUCUCAGAUGUGCUCAAUCUCCCAUCCCAACCAAAAUAUGACGGGUUGAGCUAUCCUCCGUUAUUUUCGACCAUACACAUGGGUGUCAUGUGACACGGGUGUCCUCACCAAUCUCUCCUUGGAGGUGGCAGAGAUCUGCAAACAAGGUUAGCGAUAGUACACAGAUGGCCCAGCAAAGGAGUACCGAGAUGAAACUGAUGGAGGUGCAGUUUCAGGCUUGGCUCCGUGGUACUGGAGUAACUUGUUAUAAUUUGACAAUGCAUCAGAAGCAUGCGUCGAGUAUAAUCUACCCUCUUGAUCAGCUUCCCUCCUACGCAAGGGAUCUGCCUCAAAUAGGUAAG